UUUUUCCGUCUUUGAGUCUAGCGUAUCCCUCCACGACGACCGAAUCGGUCAUCUUCAGUCAUGGUUCCUGACAGCUGCACAGUUGGCUGCCCCAAUGAGCAGUAGCCGUCCGGGAAGGCCACGCCUUUGUCGGGGAGACAGAUGGGCCUGAUGAAGGGUGUCCUCUUCACGCAGAGGCCAUCUUGCCUCUUCAGUUUGAUGAGAACUGGCCCACAGGCGGUCACAAGGAAGAAAAAAAACAAACAAACGGAGGGGACACUGCAGUACUCCCAGGAGAUGGCGCCCUUGCUCACAGUGUAACACCAUGGCAUCUUGUCUCCAUCUGGAUUCCUGCAAACACAAGG